GCGGGAGUAGCUCAGUGGUAGAGCAUCUGCUUGCCAUGCAGAGGGUCGCGGGUUCGAAUCCCGUCUCCCGCU
rfam:Coprothermobacter proteolyticus DSM 5265, complete genome.